rnacentral:rRNA from 1 species
GACGAACGCUGGCGGCGUGCCUAAUACAUGCAAGUAGAACGCUGAAGGAGGAGCUUGCUUCUCCGGAUGAGUUGCGAACGGGUGAGUAACGCGUAGGUAACCUGCCUGGUAGCGGGGGAUAACUAUUGGAAACGAUAGCUAAUACCGCAUAAUAGCAGUUAUUGCAUGAUAACUGUUUGAAAGGUGCAAUUGCACCACUACCAGAUGGACCUGCGUCGUAUUAGCUAGUUGGUGGGGUAACGGCUCACCAAGGCGACGAUACAUAGCCGACCUGAGAGGGUGAUCGGCCACACUGGGACUGAGACACGGCCCAGACUCCUACGGGAGGCAGCAGUAGGGAAUCUUCGGCAAUGGACGGAAGUCUGACCGAGCAACGCCGCGUGAGUGAAGAAGGUUUUCGGAUCGUAAAGCUCUGUUGUAAGAGAAGAACGAGUGUGAGAGUGGAAAGUUCACACUGUGACG